rnacentral:rRNA from 1 species
AACUUUCAGCAACGGAUCUCUUGGUUCUCGCAUCGAUGAAGAACGCAGCGAAAUGCGAUAAGUAGUGUGAAUUGCAGAAUUCAGUGAAUCAUCGAAUCUUUGAACGCACAUUGCGCCUUCUGGUAUUCGCGGGAGGCAUGCCUGUUCGAGAGUC